rnacentral:rRNA from 1 species
UUUGAUCCUGGCUCAGAUUGAACGCUGGCGGCAUGCCUUACACAUGCAAGUCGAACGGCAGCACGGGAGCAAUCCUGGUGGCGAGUGGCGAACGGGUGAGUAAUACAUCGGAACGUGCCCAAUCGUGGGGGAUAACGCAGCGAAAGCUGUGCUAAUACCGCAUAAGAUCUAAGGAUGAAAGCAGGGGACCGCAGGGCCUUGCGCGAAUGGAGCGGCCGAUGGCAGAUUAGGUAGUUGGUGAGGUAAAGGCUCACCAAGCCUUCGAUCUGUAGCUGGUCUGAGAGGACGACCAGCCACACUGGGACUGAGACACGGCCCAGACUCCUACGGGAGGCAGCAGUGGGGAAUUUUGGACAAUGGGCGCAAGCCUGAUCCAGCCAUGCCGCGUGCAGGAUGAAGGCCUUCGGGUUGUAAACUGCUUUUGUACGGAACGAAAAGGUUCUUUUUAAUAAAGAGAGCUCAUGACGGUACCGUAAGAAUAAGCACCGGCUAACUACGUGCCAGCAGCCGCGGUAAUACGUAGGGUGCAAGCGUUAAUCGGAAUUACUGGGCGUAAAGCGUGCGCAGGCGGUGAUGCAAGACAGUUGUGAAAUCCCCGGGCUCGACCUGGGAACUGCAUCUGUGACUGCAUCGCUGGAGUGCGGCAGAGGGGGAUGGAAUUCCGCGUGUAGCAGUGAAAUGCGUAGAUAUGCGGAGGAACACCGAUGGCGAAGGCAAUCCCCUGGGCCUGCACUGACGCUCAUGCACGAAAGCGUGGGGAGCAAACAGGAUUAGAUACCCUGGUAGUCCACGCCCUAAACGAUGUCAACUGGUUGUUGGGUCUUUACUGACUCAGUAACGAAGCUAACGCGUGAAGUUGACCGCCUGGGGAGUACGGCCGCAAGGUUGAAACUCAAAGGAAUUAACGGGGACCCGCACAAGCGGUGGAUGAUGUGGUUUAAUUCGAUGCAACGCGAAAAACCUUACCCACCUUUGACAUGUACGGAAUUUGCCAGAGAUGGCUUAGUGCUCGAAAGAGAGCGUAACACAGGUGCUGCAUGGCUGUCGUCAGCUCGUGUCGUGAGAUGUUGGGUUAAGUCCCGCAACGAGCGCAACCCUUGUCAUUAGUUGCUACAUUUAGUUGGGCACUCUAGUGAGACUGCCGGUGACAAACCGGAGGAAGGUGGGGAUGACGUCAAGUCCUCAUAGCCCUUAUAGGUGGGGCUACACACGUCAUACAAUGGCUGGUACAAAGGGUUGCCAACCCGCGAGGGGGAGCUAAUCCCAUAAAACCAGUCGUAGUCCGGAUCGCAGUCUGCAACUCGACUGCGUGAAGUCGGAAUCGCUAGUAAUCGUGGAUCAGAAUGUCACGGUGAAUACGUUCCCGGGUCUUGUACACACCGCCCGUCACACCAUGGGAGCGGGUUCUGCCAGAAGUAGUUAGCCUAACCGCAAGGAGGGCGAUUACCACGGCAGGGUUCGUGACUGGGGUGAAGUCGUAACAAGGUA